CUAAGUGAGCAUUAGGUGCCAUACCAGCUGCUACACCUUUAGCAUUACCAAAAACACUUGCAUCUUUUAUGAAUCUUCCUGCAGCCUCCGCAGCAGUGUGCGUUCCAUGGAAAAUGUUUUCAAAUGGAGGCUCUUGAAUCGUACUUUUGACUAAACUUCUUGCACCAAUGAGCUUAUUGUUGCAUAUUUUCAUUCCAUUGAAUUCACAAUGGCCUUUCCAUUUUGCAGGUGGCGGCGGCAUUCCUUCGUCAUUGAAUGAUGGAUGAGAAGGGAAUAUUCCUGAGUCUAUGACUCCAAUUAUGACACCUUUUCCAAGGUUAUCAUCAUUCCACAACCCCUGUCCAUGCUUCAGACCCAAGAAAGUUGGACUGUGAGUUGUGUGUAAUGAAAGUGUCCUUUCAGGUCUUGCUAACAAAAUUCCAUCUUUCUCUUGAAGAGAUUUGGCUUCUUCUGGUGUC
rnacentral:lncRNA from 1 species